UGGAUACGGUGGUGGAAGCAGUGGAGGAUACAGUGUUGGGUAUGGAGGUGGUUGUGGUGGUGGCGGUUGUGGCGGAGGAUUUGGAUCAGGUGGUGGUGGCGGAGGAUUGGUAGUAGGACAACUUGUAUCUGUAAUUGGAACUGGUGGUGGUGGCGGUGGAUCUGGCAAUGGUGGUUCAAGUGGUGGAUACGGAUAUGGUGGUUCCAGUGGUGGAUACGGAUAUGGUGGUUCCAGUGGUGGAUACGGAUAUGGUGGUUCCAAUGGUGGAUACGGAUAUGGUGGUUCCAAUGGACCUGCAGUUAUUGUUGUGUCAGGCGGAGGCUCCGGAGGAGGUUCCGGUGGAGGUUCUGGUUGGGCUUCCGGUGGAGGUUCCGGUGGGUCAGGUGGAAAAGGAUAUUCAUACUAAACAAUUUUUGUUUGACCGGACUUAUCAUGUUUAGAAAAUGUUCGCGAAUUUAACUGUAAUUAAACAUAAAAUCAU